rnacentral:lncRNA from 1 species
AGGCUGUCAAUAUACAAUUGUUGAGUGGAUGAUGGUAAAUACUGAAUGUCUCUCUAAAAACAAUAAUCAUGCAUAUAGCUAUCGAGACAUAAUAAUGUAAGUGAGGAAGAAAUUUUUCAUUAUGAUUUCUGAAUAUAUUCUUUCCAAAUGUAUAAUCCUAUAAGGUUUAUGUCACAUAUAGAGAAAAUUGGAAUGUUACUUUUUAGCAUUAUUACUCCAAAAUUAUUCUUUGGUUAUUCUUUCCCAAAGACUGUGUGCCAUAAUAUUAAUAUAUGGAAAGUUGCAGAAACAUGCUUUAGGCUUAUGUCUUCGAAUGCUCUAAGCAACAAUUUUCCAUAGACUAUUUUACACUUCUACCUUUUCCUUCCUCUUUCUAAACUUUCUUAUAUACCCUCCCUUGUUCUGAUUUAAAUUUAUGGCUUAUUUUUCUUUAAUUUUUCGUGUGUAUGAACCUAAAUACAACCGGCUCAGGCUAUAUAGUAUUACUUGUAUAUACGUUUUCAGGGCUGGCCAUUUGGUAUUGAAUAACCAGUUGGUGUGCUCUUCCCUGGGGAAACUGUAACUCCUGCUCUCAGCAUUCCUUGGUUGCCUGUAGUUCUUGAUCUAGGGUUGAGACCUCCUGAGCUUCCUUCCUUCCAUGUUAGCACAUCUAUUGGUGUUGUACUUUUACAGAAGAGAUUUUAAGGGGCUUUUCAGUAUAAUUGUUUGGAUGUUUAUCCAACAAGACUCAUUCACUUAAUCAUUAUGUAACUUCGAGAUUUAAUGUAAGAAGUAAAACAUCAUGUUAGAGGCUGUGGAGAUGGCUCAGUGAAUACAGUGCAUGCUGAGCAAGCUUGAGAACCUCACUUCAGAUCCCCAGUAUAUGCAUGCCCUAAAAGUCUAGCAAAAAAAAAAAUGAGCUACCUGAUUCAAAACAAAAUGUACAGAAUAGUUGAGGAAGACAACUAUCAUUAACUACUGACCUCCACACCUACAUGCACAGGUGACUAUACCCAUACAUAUGCAUACAUCUGUGUGUGCAUCACUCACUCACUCACUAUCUAAUUCUCUGUGUGUGCAUCACUCACUCACUAUCUAUCUAUCUACCUACCUACCUACCUACCUACCUAUCUCAUCACACACAAAGAAACAUUCACAAAUUUAACAAGCUUUUGACUAAAUGG